AGCAGUGUGGCUUAGUGGGAAGAGCCCGGGCUUGGAAGUCAGAGGUCGUGGGUUCUAAUCCCAGCUCUGCCA
rfam:Ornithorhynchus anatinus chromosome 4, whole genome shotgun sequence.